AAUGAACGCUGGCGGCAGGCCUAACACAUGCAAGUCGAACGAGUGGCGGACGGGUGAGUAAUGUCUGGGACACUGCCUGAUGGAGGGGGAUAACUACUGGAAACGGUAGCUAAUACCGCAUACCAUGGGAUGUGCCCAUAUGUGAUUAGCUAGUAGGUGGGGUAACUGCUCACCUAGGCUACGAUCCCUAGAUGGUCUGAGAGGAUGACCAGCCACACUGAAAUUGAGACAUGGUCCAGACUCCUACGUGAGGCAGCAGUGGGGAAUAUUGCACAAUGGGCGCAAGCCUGAUGCAGCCAUGCCGCGUGUAUGAAGAAGGCCUGCGGGUUGUAAAGUACUUUCAGCGGGGAGGCGUUAUCCGCAGAAGAAGCACCGGCUAACUCCGUGCCAGAGCCGCGGUAAUUC
rnacentral:rRNA from 1 species